rnacentral:rRNA from 1 species
CAGUAGCCGCGGUAAUACGUAGGGUGCAAGCGUUAAUCGGAAUUACUGGGCGUAAAGCGUGCGCAGGCGGCUUCUUAAGUCGGAUGUGAAAUCCCUGAGCUUAACUUAGGAAUUGCAUUCGAUACUGGGAAGCUAGAGUAUGGGAGAGGAUGGUAGAAUUCCAGGUGUAGCGGUGAAAUGCGUAGAGAUCUGGAGGAAUACCGAUGGCGAAGGCAGCCAUCUGGCCUAAUACUGACGCUGAGGUACGAAAGCAUGGGGAGCAAACAGGAUUAGAUACCCGCGUAGUCCCUGUCUCUUAUAC